GAACGCACAUUGCGCCCCCUGGUAUUCCGGGGGGCAUGCCUGUUCGAGCGUCAUUACAACCCUCAAGCUCUGCUUGGUAUUGGGCCCCGCCGGUUCCGGCGGGCCCUAAAGUCAGUGGCGGUGCCAUCCGGCUCCGAGCGUAGUAAUUCUUCUCGCUCUGGAGACCCGGCUGUGUGCUUGCCAGCAACCCCCAAUUUUUUAAGGUUGACCUCGGAUCAGGUAGGGAUACCCGCUGAACUUAAG
rnacentral:misc_RNA from 1 species